rnacentral:tRNA from 1 species
ACCUUAGCUCAGCUGGUAGAGCACUCGAUUUGUAAUCGAAAGGUCGUCGGUUCGAUCCCGACAGGU